UCGUUUUUAUUUUUAUUUUUUUUAGUAAACAAAAGUAAGAGAAACAAUGAUGUAUAAUUCAAGCAUGCUUGGUGAUCUCAAACCAAUCACAAGGAGUCUCACCCAAAGGCAAAGGGAACCAAGAUGCUCAUGAUCCUUGAGGCUAUGCAAAUGCAAUGUUAUGAUGCCAUGAGGGAUCUUAGGGUCAAAAUUGGGGUCUUACACAGACUAGGCACUCUCAC
rnacentral:lncRNA from 1 species